rnacentral:rRNA from 1 species
UACGAAGGGGGCUAGCGUUGUUCGGAAUUACUGGGCGUAAAGGGCGCGUAGGCGGCGUGACAAGUCACUUGUGAAAUCUCCGGGCUUAACUCGGGACGGUCAAGUGAUACUGUCGUGCUAGAGUACGGAAGGGGCAACUGGAAUUCUCGGUGUAGCGGUGAAAUGCGUAGAUAUCGAGAGGAACACCUGCGGCGAAGGCGGGUUGCUGGGCUGAUACUGACGCUGAGGCGCGAAAGCCAGGGGAGCGAACGGG